rnacentral:rRNA from 1 species
UACGGAGGGUGCAAGCGUUAUCCGGAAUCAUUGGGUUUAAAGGGUCCGCAGGCGGUUCUAUAAGUCAGUGGUGAAAUCUCUCGGCUCAACCGAGAAACUGCCAUUGAUACUGUAGGACUUGAAUUCGGUCGAAGUGGGCGGAAUAUGACAUGUAGCGGUGAAAUGCUUAGAUAUGUCAUAGAACACCGAUAGCGAAGGCAGCUCACUAGGCCUGGAUUGACGCUCAGGGACGAAAGCGUGGGGAG